rnacentral:lncRNA from 1 species
CAUUUUUUGCUAAAUAUGGGUGACUUUGUGCUAUAAAAAAGGGUUGGUGUCCCUACGCGGGUGGGCUGGUUUAUCUUUGGGCCUGGUUAGUUUCUCAUGGCCCAACAUCUAUUCGGCACCCCACGGCUCAAUAUCGUUUUUUACCAUGUACUCUUGACUGCAAUGCACUUUGUUUUAACUAAACCAAUAAUCCAUUGACUUCCACUGAAUAUAUCAUUAGACGAAUUUAGGAAAGUUAUGCUUGAGACAACUUCAGCUAGCAAAUGAUCCCUAGACUAACUGAAACUAUGAGCUAGACACACUAACUGAAACUAGGGAUCCCUGAAACUAGCUUGACACAAGUAAAAGAAAGCCAUAGCAAUGACACAACAAUAAAAUGCUUUGGCCAUCAUAUUUUCUUGCUACCUCAAAUCAAUCACGUGCUUUAGUUGCUUGCCCAUUUUUCUUCAGUUCACACUUUAGUCUAGCACUGUCCAUCUUCAGAUCUGCUCUGUCUGCCAAAUGGAGGGUAUGUUCAAUAGCAAGCGGCACACCAAAAUUGAGCUCCUCGGUUGAUACCUCCAGUUUAAACCUCUCAACGUACUCAUCGAGCCACUCGAAAUGCCCACAUUUCCUUAGAACCUGGAAAACGGGAUCAGCGGCGCAUAUACCCUAGAUCCACUACCGAAAUUUGACG